rnacentral:rRNA from 12 species
CACCAGAAGUAGAUAGCUUAACCUUCGGGAGGGCGUUUACCACGGUGUGGUUCAUGACUGGGGUGAAGUCGUAACAAGGUAGCCCUAGGGGAACCUGGGGCUGGAUCACCUCCUUACCUAAAGA